AGUCGGGUGAAGUACAGAGGGUAGAUGACAGCGGCCGUGGCACACAGCAGGGUUGCCAACAUGGCGAAGGCUGCUGUGAAGUUGCCCCAGGAAAGGCGUAGGCAGCUGUGAAGCUUUGUGAACUCACAGGCUACCACCAGGACUGAGAAGGCAAAGCAGAAGCCCCAAGCAGCCAUGCAGAAAGUGCCCUGGACACCCCCAAAACCACCUCGGUGAGCAACCAAACUGAAAGUGGUACAGCCAAAGGCCAGCUGCAGCAUUCGGGCUGUACCCACCGGCGAGGUCACAGCGCCUAAGUGCAGAACCUUCCCACUACUCUUUGGAAAGAGGGGCUGAGGAAACUAUUUGGUAGCCCCAAAAUAUAGAAAGGAAGCAUAUGGAUUUGUCUCUGAUGCCACUGCCAACGACCAACAGUUUUGGUGCUAAAUUCAGGACAAUUCCAGGACUGGUGUACAGUUCAGGAUAUCCCACCACUCCCCAAAUGCCUCAUCUGAACUGGCCACUCACAGCGCAGAGUCGGAUAUACUUUGUAGCCAAAGAAGCAAUUCCAUUCCUCUCCUUCCUUGAACUGGCGCUGGCAACGCUCUGGGACCAUCCCACUCCAGUACCUGCGGCACAAUCACAGGAACCAGCCUGAGUCAGCCAGGCCCCGCACCUGGAUAGAUGGGUAGCCCAACUCCUCCAGCAGCUCAGCCACGCGGUCUACAUUCAACAGCACCCCGGUGCCCCCAGCGCUGAGGGAAGGCCAGACGUGAGGCCAAGUGGCUGGGGAGGGUGCUUGCUGUCCACCCAGAGCUGGUUUAGCCCCAGCCUUAGUCCUGAGGAAGCACUGCUUCUGAACAAUGCAUUCUGACUAUAACCAUGUUGAGAGAGGCAAGCAAGACACAGGGACCUCUCUCCCUCACGGUCCAAGGGCAGAGGACUGGUAGAGUUCUAUUCUAAGCGUUGGCCCAUAGCUAAGGCUGACAGAGCACAGAGCUGACUCUCCUUUCCCUCUGUUUUCUCUCCUGUAUCAGUUUCCUUAUCUGAAGAAGAAGAUAAACUCCGG
rnacentral:lncRNA from 1 species